GCCUCAAUCAGAAAAACAUUUUUCCCCAUUAUCAUUAUUAUUAUUACUUUUGUUUUUCUAUUAUUAGGGAUAUUUGGUUUUUGCUCAACUAGUUCUUGCUGCCAAUAUAAAUACUGAGAUAAAUCUAGCCACACAAGUCGUAGAAGUGGCCUUAAAAGCAUAUUUCCCUUCAUUUCACAGUGACUCACAAAAUUGAAUUUUACCUACAGAGUCAUAUCUUUCGACCACCAAAUCAAUCCUAUAAGAUUUACCAUUAUCGUUUUCUCUUUUUUAAUUUAGGUUUGAUCAGCUUUUCUUUCUUUUUUUUCCUCCAUUAUUGUCCCUUAAUCUAUGCAAUUUGAAAAAGAUAAUAUAUCAUCUCCUCCCUCUUUCUGUUGUUGGGUUGGUGGAAUAUUCAACGCCAGCUUCCUCAGGCCCCACUCUCUCUCUCUCUCUCUCUUCUCUCUCUGCUCUCUCUGCUCCAUUGAAAAGAACCCCUCGAUCAUCAUCUUGUUCUCCAGCAUUUUCUUCAUUCGAAGGUCUUGUCUGUGUUUUAUUCAUCAUCAUCAUCAUCAUAUCUUAGCUUUCUUGUAAACCCUAGCUUGUAUCCUUUUCCAAAAUGACAAGUCUUCCUCAUAUCUGGUUUCCUCCUUUCCUCUCCUAAGAUAUUAUUUUGGCAUCAAUUUUCCGAGAUCAAACCCGAGGGCUAUUCAGUGUAUGCAAACGUAGAAACCUCCACACGAGUUUAAAUUUGCCAUUUGGAUUGACGUGUCGCCGAAUAACUAUAUAUGUAUGGUGACUUCUGGGAUACUGCUUGCAUCCGAAGUGAUUAUUUAUAGGCAUUAAUCUUUUGAUGAGAGGUUGACUGCGCGGACACAGCUAUGGGAUUAGGGAUAUUGGUGCGGUUCAAUCUGACAACAAGAGUUCUUAAGAAUUGAACCAUCGUUAUUGGAUUGAGCCGUGCCAAUAUCUCUCCAGCCCUCUUUUCUGAUGGGUAACUUAGCUCUCCAAUCGUCUCUCGAUAUUUGAUGGUGGUUCUCGAGAUUGGAAGAUAUUGAGCCCGUUGUGGGAGCUAAGGGAAUGAACACAUACACCAAGCAGGAGUUCAAGAGCACGGUUUGCAAGCCGGUUGGCAAAAGGGGCCUGGGGCGACCGGUACUGGUCCGCACAUACGAUGAUUAUUUUCUCUAAACAUUUUCUGGAAAAUUAAUCAUAAUUGCUCGAAUUUGAAGACGGAUUGCGCCCAAAGGUAUGAAGUGAGAAGCGCCAUCAGCAUGUAAGUAAUUGUCGAUCAAUUGCGUCUAUGGGUCACACAUUGCUUUGAUGAACGAUGCACAAUUUUGUUCUAUUGUUAGUAUGACUGUAAUUUGAGGCAAAGUCUCCCAUGGAAUGAUGAUGAUGAUGCUUAUCUCUAAGUCGGGGAUCUAGAAGAAGGUUGCUCUGGUACUGCUGGUGAUGAGAAAUUUUUUAUAUGAAUUAAAUUGACGAAAAAUGCAAGCACCUGUUUACUUA